rnacentral:rRNA from 1 species
AGUGAACGCUGGCGGUAGGCCUAACACAUGCAAGUCGAACGGCAGCACAGUAAGAGCUUGCUCUUACGGGUGGCGAGUGGCGGACGGGUGAGGAAUACAUCGGAAUCUACUUUUUCGUGGGGGAUAACGUAGGGAAACUUACGCUAAUACCGCAUACGACCUACGGGUGAAAGCAGGGGAUCUUCGGACCUUGCGCGAUUGAAUGGGCCGAUGUCGGAAUAGCUAGUUGGCGGGGUAAAGGCCCACCAAGGCGACGAUCCGUAGCUGGUCUGAGAGGAUGAUCAGCCACACUGUAAGUGAGACACGGCCCAGACUCCUACGGGAGGCCGCAGUGGGGAAUAUUGGACAAUGGGCGCAAGCCUGAUCCAGCCAUACCGCGUGGGUGAAGAAGGCCUUCGGGUUGUAAAGCCCUUUUGUUGGGAAAGAAAAGCAGCAGGUUAAUACCCCGCUGUUCUGACGGUACCCAAAGAAUAAGCACCGGCUAACUUCGUG